GAUGAACGCUGGCUACAGGCUUAACACAUGCAAGUCGAGGGGAAACGACGGGGAAGCUUGCUUCCCCGGGCGUCGACCGGCGCACGGGUGAGUAAACGCGUAUCCAACCUGCCUCUGACUGAGGGAUAACCCGUCGAAAGUCGGCCUAAUACCUCAUGGUAUCGUCUGCGGGCAUCCAACGACGAUUAAAGAUUUCAUCGGUCAGGGAUGGGGAUGCGUCUGAUUAGCUUGUUGGCGGGGUAACGGCCCACCAAGGCUACGAUCAGUAGGGGUUCUGAGAGGAAGGUCCCCCACAUUGGAACUGAGACACGGUCCAAACUCCUACGGGAGGCAGCAGUGAGGAAUAUUGGUCAAUGGGCGAGAGCCUGAACCAGCCAAGUAGCGUGCAGGAAGACGGCCCUAUGGGUUGUAAACUGCUUUUAUGCGGGGAUAAAGUGAGGGACGUGCCCCUCAUUGCAGGUACCGCAUGAAUAAGGACCGGCUAAUUCCGUGCCAGCAGCCGCGGUAAUACGGAAGGUCCUGGCGUUAUCCGGAUUUAUUGGGUUUAAAGGGAGCGUAGGCCGUGGAUUAAGCGUGUUGUGAAAUGCAGGUGCUCAACGUCUGCACUGCAGCGCGAACUGGUCCACUUGAGUGUGCGCAACGCAGGCGGAAUUCGUCGUGUAGCGGUGAAAUGCUUAGAUAUGACGAAGAACUCCGAUUGCGAAGGCAGCUUGCGGGAGCACAACUGACGCUGAAGCUCGAAAGUGCGGGUAUCGAACAGG
rnacentral:rRNA from 1 species